AAUAAUCUCAUUUUUUAUUUUUUGGUGCCCAACAUUUGACCAUUCGUCUUAUUUGAAUUUUUUUGUGAUUAAUAUUUUUAUUGUUAUGAAUAGUACUUUAUACGUGACUAAUUUUUUUAAGUUUUUAUAUAAAAUUUUAAAAUAAAACGAAUGUUUAAAAGUUAGGUAUGGAAAAAC
rnacentral:pre_miRNA from 1 species